CCGGGGCUGGUCCGGCCUUGCUGUCUUUCCCCUGGCAGUUCUCAAGUCCAGGGGGAGGGGUCCUGGGCCAACUGGGGUCUGCCAGGCCAUCCCCGCAGCCCUACUCCACCCCACCCCACAGAGACCCCUGCCUCCCAUCUGAGAGGACAGCUCUCUUCCCGGAGCUGGGAUCUGACGCUUGCUGGUGCCAACAGCAGAUACCAGGCGCAUGACCGGAUUACUCUUUCUUGCUUCCUUUGAAGUUAGAUGUGACCAUGUGACUUGUUCUGGCCAAUGAAAUGAGAGCAGAAACAACUGGUGCAUCACACCCGGGCAGAAGCUUGAAGGGCCCGAGCAGCUGGGGCUGUUUCAGAAGCACGUACGGAAAUGGAGUCAUCAGGGUGGGGAGUGCACCCCACCAGCCCCUGAUGGACAAGUACUGUAAGUGAGCCAUCGGCUCAGCUGUGUAAGCCACUGGGACUUAGGGCCUUUUUGUCAUUACAGCACAGCCUCACCUAACUUGACUGCACAGGAUCUUUCCAAAGGUCACUGAUUUUCCUCUGGCCCUUAUGAUUUUUGUUGUAUUUGGAAACCUCCCAUACUAAUACUAAACAUUUUUCUUACAUCGACACACUUAUUUUUAUUUAGAUUUAUUUUAGAAGGAAAUGUUAUUACUACCAAGUGAAACACCAGUAUCUUAAGUAGAAAGCGAUGGGAAAAUAAAUGGAAUGAUAUAAACUAUUAUAACAUAUCCUGAAUUAAAUAAUACUGUUGUGGGUGAAAG